UGACGUUUAAAAGCUAUAUAUAGAUAGACGCAAUGCAUAAAUAAGAAAGAUGUUGUAUUUUACAAAAUAUAAACAUUCGUCUUUUACUCAAUGUAGACUAAUUUGUAUAAAUACCAUUUACCAAGCAGAUGAAUUAAUAUUAUAGCGAUACAGGUCCAGGUGGUAGAGUGCAAUUCGGUGGCAAGAGAAAGAGGCUUGAAAACACCUGUUUUCGAAAAUACGGAUAACAGUUCACGUUAUUUUGCUUUUAGACAAACAGACCGUUGACUUACAAAUGCAGUGUAACCAAGACGUACCUAAACAUCAAGAAAUGACAUUUAAGUAUUGGCGAUAACAAACCGAUUAAUUGGACAAAAUGAGUGACGAAUGACCUUGACCUUCGUUGCAAUGUUUAAAGAACAAUCUUAGUAAUAGAUUGUUGAAGAAUCUGAUCUUCCAUCAGAAGUAAACCAACUUGAAAGUGUUGCUGCUCAAAGUUGUUUGGAAAUGGAUUUUACAACAGAAAAUGUAUCUAAAGCAAUUGAUACUUUCUAUGAAAGAAAUGGUGACUAUAACUUCAAAGCAAAAGAUUUGUGUGAAAUUUUGCUAGAAGAAGAACAACAACAUGAUAAGUGUGUACCAGACAAAGCGGAGAUCACAACUAUUUCCGUGCAACCGACCGAUGGCCACGAUAUGGACCAUGCAGAUUUGAGCUACAUCAUGUUUGAUGAAUGUCAAAUGUGUAAAAUGUGCGAUAUAGAUCAUCUGACAUUCAUAGCAUAUCAUCAUUUAUACAACUGUCAUCAAUACUCCCCUUGUCAUAUCAUCUACAUGAUUAUUCUGAAAGGAUUUAGAAGAGUUUGGGAGUAUUUUAUACAUUUGCUCAUACUCCCACAGCGCAUAAUUAUGCUUUUGGGACGUUUGUGUUGCAUUUACAUUUGACACCCUCGUACAGCAUCAACGAGGGCAAUGGUAAUUUGUGUUUAACAUGUGCUAUAUAAAUAUGUUUGAAUGCACUCGUAAAUUGGUUGGAGUGACUAGUGUAUACGGAAUGUUUCAAGUACAUAAGUAAAUGAACAGUAUGCUUCGUGUCUAAUACAAACAAGCAUACGUUUUAAUGAAGAAUUUAUAUAAUUAAAAUUGGUGAUUUAGAUGUGUUUAAUAGAUAUGUUUGAAUGUACUACAGUGACUAGUGUAUACAUGCUUCAAGUAAAUAAGUAAAUGAACAGUAUGCUCCGUGUUUAAUACAAAAAGCAUACCUUUGAAGUAUAAUAAAAUAUUAAUGAAUUAUUAAUAUAAUUGAUAAUUUGUUUUUGCUCUCAGCUCUCAGUCACAUACAUUUUAUUGGUAAAUGAGAAUUUAAUUCCCUUUAGGAGUAGAAAUCUACAAAAGUAAAAAUAGUAAAAGUGUCGGAAAGCAGACUCGAAUAGAAUGAGUCUGUUCAUACAAGAUAGUUAGAGGCGCAAUGUCUCUCGCGCAA